CCUACGGGAGGCAGCAGUGAGGAAUAUUGGUCAAUGGGAGGAAUCCUGAACCAGCCAUGCCGCGUGCAGGACGACGGCUCUUCGAGUUGUAAACUGCUUUUGUACCGGGGUAAAAUGCUCUACGAGUACGGUGUGAAAAGUACGGUACUAAUACGGUGCGGCUAACUCCGUGACAGCAGCCGCGGUAAUACGGAGGAUACGAGCGUUAUCCGGAUUCAUUGGGGUUAAAUGGUGCGUAGGUUGUUUUAUAAGUUCGCGGUGAAAUCCCGAUGCUCAACAUGGGGUCCGCCGGUAAUACUGCAGGACUAGAGAUCGGAUGCAGCAGGCGGAAUGUGUGGUGUAGCGGUGAAAUGCAUAGAUAUUACACAGAACACCGAUUGCGAAGGCAGCUUGCUGGGCCGGAACUGACACUGAUGCACGAAAGCGUGGGGAUCGAAAAGGAUUAGAUACCCCGGUAGUC
rnacentral:rRNA from 1 species